GACGAACGCUGGCGGCGUGCUUAACACAUGCAAGUCGAACGGAAAGGCCUCUUUCGGGGGGUACUCGAGUUGCGAACGGGUGAGUAACACGUAAGUAACUAGCCCAUGUCUUUGGGAUAACUACAUUAAACAGAGGGUAAUACAGAAUAGGUGAUCCUGUGGUACGGUGGGGGUUGGAAAGUUUCGGCGGUUGGGGGUGGACUCGCGGGGUAUCAGCUCGGUGGUGGGGUAGUGGUUUACCAAGGCCUUGACGGGUAGACGGCCUGAGAAAGUGACCGGCGACAUAGGGACUGAGGUGCGGCACAGGCUGGUACUGGAGGCAGCAGGGGGGAAUCUUGCACGAGGAGUGGCAGGCUGAUGCUGCAGCGCCUCGUGCGGUAUGACGCUGUUCGUGUUGUAGACCGCAUGCGCUAGUGACGAUGCUUUGUGUGACGGUAGUGGGUAAGAAAGCACCGGCUAACUACGUG
rnacentral:rRNA from 1 species